GUAGGUGAACCUGCGGAAGGAUCAUUAACACGUAUCCAAACGUAAACCCCCCGUGAACAAUCUAUGCUUAUCUUCUGUGCGUGGAGGUUGCAAGUUUUGACCUGUCGUUUGUCUUGUGUUCCGGUUCUCGGUUCAUGAGGUGGAUGGAGAUGGGGAGGGGCUUGUGGCCGCGUGCAGAAUCGAGAGGUGCGCAAAAUAUCUCGGAUGCCCCUGUGAAUCGGUGUCAGUACGUGUGACAGGGGACCUCGAU
rnacentral:misc_RNA from 1 species